GAUGAACGCUGGCGGCGUGCCUAAUACAUGCAAGUCGAGCGAACAGAUGAGGAGCUUGCUCCUCUGACGUUAGCGGCGGACGGGUGAGUAACACGUGGAUAACCUACUUAUAAUACUGGGAAAACUUCGGGAAACGGGAUCUAAUACCGGAUAAUAUAUUGAACCGCAUGGUUCAAUAGUGAAAGACGGUUUUGCUGUCACUUAUAGAUGGAUCCGCGCCGCAUUAGAUAGUUGGUAAGGUAACGGCUUACCAAGGCAACGAUGCGUAGCCGAACUGAGAGGGUGAUCGGCCACACUGGAACUGAGACACGGUCCAGACUCCUACGGGAGGCAGCAGUAGGGAAUCUUCCGCAAUGGGCGAAAGCCUGACGGAGCAACGCCGCGUGAGUGAUGAAGGUCUUCGGAUCGUAAAACUCUGUUAUUAGGGAAGAACAAAUGUGUAAGUAACUAUGCACGUCUUGACGGUAACUAAUCAGAAAGCCACGGCUAACUACGUG
rnacentral:rRNA from 1 species